UUUUACUGUAAUGAAGUUGAUCGGGACUGUAGAGGCAUUUUGUUGUGUUCUAUGAAAAACAAGUCAGACCAGAUAGAUUACUCUUUUUUUUCCAUCAAAGAAAAAAAAGUCAAAUUUCUUUCUUUUUUGUUAACUUUCAAAGAAAGGAAAACUGAGUCUAAUUAGAUAAGAAGUAUUAAGAUUUUAUUUUGAUCUUUUUUUGAGUCAUGAUUUUAAAAGUGUUUGUUUGAAGGUUAUAGCACCUUAUUAACUGACUAAAGAACUUCUGUCCUGACCUAGAGUCCAACAGAACAGAGUGAGUGAGAGGGCCGGGCUCAAAGAGAGAGAGAAAAAGAGAAACUGAUAGAACGAAAAAGCAGCAUAUCAUUUAGGGGAGGAGUUUACAUACUUCGUUCAGGAAAAGCUCUAAACUCAUGCCACAAGGACAUACACACACACACAGACAUACACACCCCUUGCCCUACAGGAGCAUUACAGACUAUAAUGUUUAGUUUUAGUCAGUUUGAAAGGAACUUUUCGCCAACUCCACAGAGCAGAUACUGACAGAUCUAUGCGGAACAAACACACAGCCGGGUGUCAGCUGGACAGAGGUUGGUCCCAUCCUGGCUUUCAUAGAUUUUUGCCAUGAGAAGAAAGAGUAACUUUCACAGGGAGACAUCACAGUGUUUCUGUCAGUCAUGGGUAAUAACUUUACCCAUGAAGCGAUAUCCCCCGCUGAGCUCGAUGCCUUAUGGAAUGACCCUCCAUACGCUUUAGCAGCCGUCAGUGAGCUCUUUUCGCCCAAUGAUGCCAUGACAGCUGAUGAGGAAGCGGAGGCUGAGGCCGAGGUGGAGGCAGAAGGCAUAAGCAGAGAAAUUUACUGGAGGAGGAAGGAAACAUUCAGCGGAAGUAGCACAGUAUCUUCAGCAGGAGAACGCUUCUCUUCAGAUGUUGUUUUGUUGUUUAGCGGGAGGCGACGAUCUGGGGUAACACCUGACGGUGAGCUUCAGGAGGCGUUACGUACCAGACUCCGAGUAGUAGAGAGCAACAGCCAGGAUGUUGUUCAGCUCUUUAAGGAUCUGUCUGCAAGACUAGUGUCUGUUAAUGCUGAAAAAGACAGCUUUAUCAUCACCUUUAAGACUGUUGAGGAGAUUUGGAAGUUUUCCACUUACCUGGCACUCGGAUAUGUAGCAAGAUGUCUUGAAAAUUUUCUCUGUGACCAGUCGUUCUGGCUGGACCCUGCAUUGCUAAGCGAUGUGGAGAUCUGUGUAACAGUGGAUGAAGACCACUUAGCUACUCUUUACCUAGGACUUCUGCUACAGGAAGGUACAUUCUUUGCCAAGACUUUAUAUAACAGUGAUUGCAGAGAGGAGGAAGAGGAGCUGACCUACAGGAGGAAUGACCUGGUCAUGGUUAAAGACAUAGGACAAGAGACAAUUUGGGAGGGUAUGCUGCUGUCCACAGGCCAACAUGGUCUGGUGCCUGUGCAUGAUAUGCAGCCUCUGCCCUAUCCAUUUUAUCAGUGGUUCCUUAAGAAAUAUCCCGGGAAUGCAGGAGGGAUUCCAGUUACAGAAGGCCUCUUCGAUCAUCCUGUUGUGGUGGGGACUUGUGUAGCAGUAGUGGACCAUAACCCAAUGGUUAAAGAUGAGCUGCACUUACGCAAGGGAGACAUAAUCAAGAUUGAGGGAUUUCUUUUCAAUGCUCUGAACAUGUUCAUAGGAAGACACCUCACCAGUGGAGAGAUAGGAUUUGUUCACAAGGCCAGUGUAAAACCUCAGAGUAUUGAGCCUCUCAAUGGACAAUUGGUCUUUCUCAGUGAGGAGGAAAGGGUGGCCCUGACUAAACUUAACCCCUGCUUUGAGCCCUGCCAGUCUGAUGUACUAGCAAAUCUAUCCUGCACUGAUAUAAGCACUGUGUAUAGACUGGAUAGACUUGAUGACUCUGAUUUCACUUACAUAAGAAAUCAUCCAAAGUCAGAGCAGAAAUCUACAGUGGAUCAAAGAAGGAGCACCAUAUCUGAAAACAGUGGUGUAACUCCCUACCACUCGUCACCACGGCAAUCGUUCUGUGCCUCUCGGAAUCAUCUCGACCGGGACUCUGAGGUCCUCUCCUUUAGCCUGGAGGACACCUUUAGAGAGAUGGAUGAAUAUGAGGAAGACCCUCCAAACUUCAUGGAUGAGGGUAUCUGGGAGGCUGAUGAAGCCGAGAGAUGUGACCCAAUCCUGACCCUCCUAAAUCUGGAAUAUUUCCAGGACACAUUUCAAACUCUUUACGACCUCUCCUACUCUUUCCUGGACACUUUCUUCCAUGGCCUUGCAGAGGAUGAGGUGCUUCAACAUCUGGAAAACUUGCGAGAAGGAGCGAAGAAAGGCAGGAUGCUCUGGGCCCACCGGCGAGCCUGCUUCCUUCUUGGCCGGCUAUGUGCCAAGAAACUGAAGUACUCGCAAGCACGAGUGUACUUUGAGGAGGCUCAAAAGGUCCCUGUAAAUGGUUUUGAUGACAAACCCCUUCUAACAGCCCUGUAUACCAAUCUCACUGCUGUUUACCUCAAACAGAAGAUGAUGGACAAGCUGCCAUUCACUCUAGAAAAGGCAAGUGCUCUAAUUAUGUGUCUUCCUUGCCACAACUUCUGCUCUGUGGAUGAGUUUGAGCUGCUCAAACCAAUCAUGCGCAAAGCCAUAAUUGAAAAAGACAAGUACCUAGAGGCACGGACAUGCUACCUCUCCCUCUGUCUCUUUCUCCGUCUAAGAAAAAUAGAGGAUGCUUUACCUUUUGUAGAGAGACUUCAGUUCCUAACUAUCACUCUGUCUGCCGAACAAGGGAGGCCAAUUGCCCCAGUUGAUCUCAACUGGAUGCUGUGCAGGCUUUAUCAUAAAAAGUAUUUGCCCUACCUCACACUAGCUUCUUUAAGUCUAGACUCAGGGCAAGAGCAUUCCUUGGAUGAUGCAUUCCAGAAAAUUGAACUCUUUAUCAAAAACUCAAUAAGGCUUAAUCCGCACUGGAAGGAGAGUACUUCUGUGCUUCCUGCACAGGUGGUGGUCUACCUUCAGCAGGCCUUGUCAAUAGCUAGUCAAGGGGAAGACUUGAGGACUCAGAGGGACCUGUGCCUGAGCCUGGCUAGUGUUUACCAGCAGCAUGGAGCUUUAGAGAAGGCUGUGCCCUUUGCCCAACAAGCAGCACAGACUGGAAGUCAAAUUAAUGAAGAGGAGGGCUUUGAGGCAUCCAUACUGCUGGCCUGGCUACUGGUGCUAACGGAGGAAGCCAUGCAAGCUCAGAAUACUCUGGAACCUAUGCUUAAAUCUUUGGAUGAAACAGACAGUCCGACGCAGCGUGGUGUAGUCUACAACCUUCUAGCCCUAUGCCUCCGCAAACAGGGCAGAGUCCAGGAGGCAGCAAGAAACUUUUAUUGCGCUCUGCAGAUCUCUCGAGAGAAUGGGAACAAAAGUUUACAUCUAUACCUGACACCUAUAGUGACACCAGAAUGUAUUUUGACACUUAAGCCACAAUUAAAAUGUAGUUCUGAGAAAAGUGUAAAAUUAAAACAAACCCUUUCAAAUGCAGGUCAAAUGUUUGUGGCAAAAGUUCUAAGUCGGCAUUACGCUGACUUGCUGCUGUAUGGACAGUGUAUUGUUUACUAUGAGCACUGUGUGGGGCUGUGCAGAACGCUUAAGAAUAAACAGCUAGAAGGAGAGUACCUGGAACUUCUCAGCAACCUCUAUCUCUCACUAAACACUGAGAAGUCAUCAAGAAAAUCUCUUGAUUAUUCAAAGCAAAGCUUAAGGAUCUCCAUAGACCUGGGGAAAAGACAGGAAGAGUCUGAGACAUGGCUGCAAGUGGGCCGUAUCUACUAUCUGAUCCAUGAAGAUGAACUGGCUGACAUGUACCUACAGGCAGCAGUAAAGACAGCCCUGAGGAUGAAUGACCCAUGCUUUGCUAUGAGCAUUUAUGAGGAAGCAGGAGAUGUGUUCUUCAAAGGACACAGAAACCAACUGGCUGCCCUACCUUUUUACAGAGAUGGGAGUUUGCCAUUUGCGCGCAGCAUUAAGGAUGUGCACUCAGAGUUUAGGCUUUUGAGCAAACUCACAGAGCUCCUGAUAAAGCAGAAGCAGUACGAAGAGGCACUGCAGUAUGCCACACUCGCAGUGCAGGUCAGCGCCACAACUGGUGUUCCUCUGAAUGAGAGAGUGUCUUUUCAUCGUCUUGCUUCAGUGUACUUCUCUCUAGGGAAGUAUGAGAUGGCUGAGAACUACUACCUGAAGUCUCUUUCACUCUGCCCCACUGCACUUGAACAUGCCAUUGAAGUUCGGUAUUAUGUUAAAGUGUACUGCAGACUGGCUGACAUGACCCUAUACAGAUUAAAGGAUGCUUUUGAUGCCAUGGGCUACUUCCACUUAGCCCUGGCGGCAGCACUGGAGGACAAAGAAAGCCUAAGCACACUUUACAUAAUCUACAUGAAGCUUGCAGAGAUCCAUGCCAACUACAUACCCGAUGCUGAACUGAGUAAAAGCUACAUGGAAAGAGCGCAGAGCUUGAGGAAAGAACUGGCAGGAUACACAGACUCAAGUGACACAGAAGAAACACAUCAGGACCCAGCUGAGGGAGAGCCAGAUACUCACACCAAAGCUGGUCAGUCAGACUCCAGCAGUGGCACCAGUACUCUUACAGAGUCCAGCAUGACAGACACCAGCCUCACAAUCAAUGCUCAGGAAGAGUCUGAGCACAUACUAACUAACACAAGUCACAAAGAAGACAUGGACACUAACAUAUCGGAGGAAACAGAUGCGGGGCCUCCUGAUCAAACCAAUCCAGAGACUAGCUGUGCCGAUAAUACAAACCACACUUGUCAAAGCAGUUUGAAGGAGGGCUUGACUUUUGUAUUGUGAAUUACACACAAUUCUAUCACUCUGAAAAAUGUACUUCCUUUAAUGUAGAACAGAAAUAAGACCCAUUUUUUUAAUCAAAUGUUUAAAAUUCUAUAAUAUAUUUUCUAUUAGUGUUUCAAAGUGAAUUUCAAAGAUUUUGCAUAAUUGUAAAUGCAUUUGUAUAUUUGUAAAUAUGAUUGUUUUGUUUGUUUGUUUUUGUUUUAUCUGUCUACCCUCCCUGAGGGCUCUUAAAAUGUUUACUUACUGUAAUUAAAACUUAAGAAAUUCUUUUAACGUCCAUGGGCAAAAUACCGAUUCUAUAGCAUUUGCAUGAUCCCACAAAGCAGUGUCAUUUUUAAUGAAGCUCUCUUAACUAGAACUGGCU
ensembl:lncRNA